AUACGGAGGAUGCGAGCGUUAUCCGGAUUUCUUGGGUUUAAAGGGAGCGUAGGCGGGAGCUUAAGUCAGCGGUUAAAUGGUGCGGCUCAACCGUGCCCUGCCGUUGAACCUGGGUUUCUUGAGAGUGCAAGAGGCGGAUGGAAUUCAUGGUGUAGCGGUGAAAUGCUUAGAUAUCAUGAAGAACUCCGAUUGCGAAGGCAGUCCGCUGGGGCACGUCUGACGCUGAUGCUCGAAGGUGCGGGAAUCAAACAGGAUUAGAUACCCUGGUAGUCCGCACGGUAAACGAUGAUUACCCGCUGUCGGCGGCAGACAGUCGGCGGCCAAGCGAAAGCGAUAAGUAAUCCACCUGGGGAGUACGCCGGCAACGGUGAAACUCAAAUGAAUUGACGGGG
rnacentral:rRNA from 1 species